rnacentral:rRNA from 1 species
GACGAACGCUGGCGGCGUGCUUAACACAUGCAAGUCGAACGAAGUGGCGAACGGGUGAGUAACACGUGAGUAACCUGCCCUCUUCUUUGGGAUAACGGUCGGAAACGGCUGCUAAUACUGGAUCGUGGGGGAUGGGCUCGCGGCCUAUCAGCUUGUUGGUGGGGUGAUGGCCUACCAAGGCUUUGACGGGUAACCGGCCUGAGAGGGUGACCGUUCACAUUGGGACGGGGGUACGGCCCAGACUCCUACGGGAGGCAGCAGUGGGGAAUUUUGCACAAUGGGCGCAAGCCUGAUGCAGCGACGCCGCGUGAGGGAAGAAGGCCUUCGGGUUGUAAACCUCUGUCCACCAAAGACGGUAGAUGAGGAGGAAGCCCCGGCUAACUAUGUGCCAGCAGCCGCGGUAAUUC